rnacentral:rRNA from 1 species
AUUGAACGCUGGCGGCAUGCCUUACACAUGCAAGUCGAACGGCAGCACGGGUGCUUGCACCUGGUGGCGAGUGGCGAACGGGUGAGUAAUACAUCGGAACGUACCUUAUCGUGGGGGAUAACGCAGCGAAAGCUGUGCUAAUACCGCAUACGCCCUGAGGGGGAAAGCGGGGGAUCGAAAGACCUCGCGCGAUUAGAGCGGCCGAUGCCUGAUUAGCUUGUUGGUGGGGUAAAAGCCCACCAAGGCGACGAUCAGUAGCUGGUUUGAGAGGACGAUCAGCCACACUGGGACUGAGACACGGCCCAGACUCCUACGGGAGGCAGCAGUGGGGAAUUUUGGAAAAUGGGGGCAACCCUGAUCCAGCAAUGCCGCGUGAGUGAAGAAGGCCUUCGGGUUGUAAAGCUCUUUUGUCAGGGAAGAAACACCGGCUCUAACACAGUCCGGGAAUGACGGUACCUGAAGAAUAAGCACCGGCUAACUACGUGCCAGCAGCCGCCGUAA